CUGAAUUAGGCACUGCUGGUAUGUAACAAGGAGUCAUGGGGCCUGCAAGUUCAGCCAUUUCUUACUGGAGUUAAGAAGCAUCAGUAGCGACUUUCAUGAACUCAUUGUUUUCAAUGGCUGUGUAGUAUUCCAUUAGGAAAUACAGGGACAAAGAGUGGAGCAGAAACUGAUGGAAAGACCAUCCAGAGACUGUCUCACCUGGGGAUCCAACCCAUAUGCAGCCACCAAACCCAGAUACUAUUGCUGAUGCCAAGAAAUGCUUGUUGAGAGGAGCCGAAUAUGGUUGUCUCCCAAGAGGCUCUGCCAGAACCUUACUGAUACAGAGUUGGAUGUUUUCAGCCAACCAUUGGACUGAGCAGGAGGACACCAAUGGAUGAGAUAGGGAAGGACUGAAGGAGCUGAAAGGUUUUGCAACUCCAUAAGAAGAACAACAAUAUCAACCAACCAGACCCUUCAGAUCUCCCAGGGACUAAACCACCAACCAAAGAGUACACAUGGAGGGACCCAUGGCUCUAGCUGCUUAUGUAACAGAGAAUGGCAUUGUUGGACAUCACUGGGAAGUCUUUAUACUCCAGUGAAGGUAAUGCCAGGGCAGAGAUGCUGGGAUUGGGGAGGGGAGCACCCUCCUAGAAGUGGGGGGGAGAGGAUGGAAUAGGGGAUUUCUGGAGGGGAAACUUUCAAAGGGGAUAGCCUUUCAAAUGUAAAUAAAUAAAAUAUCCAAUUAAAAAUGCACUGAAAUGUUAAGGGUUCCCCAGAGGCCAGAAUUCUUCUAGAGACCAUUCUCCCCUUUUCCUAUAACUCCAUGUUGGACACAACUAUGGAAUAGUUCCUAGCAAUGAAUUAAUCUCCAACCCCCUUUCGUCUCCUUCCUCAACACAGCCAAGGAGAAGUAGUUAAGCAUUUGUAGCAGGGGAUAUAGAUGUUCAUGAAAGCUUUAGGAAGCAGGCAGUUGUAUUUAUAUGAAUUAUUUUGAAGCAGAAUUCUGAGAAAUUAUGAAAUUCCUAGAAACAUUGCAUAGAGCAAAAAGAUCAUGGGAAGCUGAAGGCAUAAAAUCAGUUAUAUUUUUCUUUCUAAUACACUUCCAAGUAGUUCAUCUCCAGAUGGUUCAUCCGUACGAAUGACAACAUUCUAAGGUAGGAAGGAUGGAGGAUUUUCAAUAACUAAGCUUGUACACAGCUUUCCAUCUCUGCUGAGAUAUCUGUUCCAUAGAGCUGCAUAAAGCUGCACUGCCCAAGUGAUAUUUGCCCAGUUCAUAUCUCACUGUAAAAGGAGGUACAGGUUAGAGGAUAAGAGAUGACACAGUGAGCUCAAGUUAUUGUUAAGAGCAACUUCAUGGCAGGGCAUGGUACUGAGAGGAUAUUGUUUCUAAAAUGGAGGAGAAGAGAUGUAACAAAAAGGUGUGUGUCUCUCACAUUCUACCAUCUGUCAGUGGAGGAAUGGAUGCACGCUCAAGUUUUCCAACUUCUUGUAAGAGAGUGUUUAGAUAGUGUCAUUAAAAUAUGUCUGAGUAAGCCAAUAAUCAACUUUACUCAUGUCAUGAACAUUUGAUGAGCUCAAACUAUUGUUGCAGAAGUCUCCUAAGCAUUACAGAUAGAAGUCUUCUCUGUGUAUUCAUGAUGUUGGUGAAAUUCAUACUUAUGAAGAAAAUAACUAGGAACAAUGGUAUUUAAACCAAAUGCAAAAAUGCAAAACAAACAAAAGGUAGGCAGUCAGGCAGGAAAACUGUUGCUUUCAGACAGGCACUCACACACACAGACAGACACAUGCUCACACAAACAUAUAUCAGAGACAUUCUACUGACCAUUCUGAUAAGUUAAUACCACAUACAUCACUUCAAAGAUAUUUUCAGUACAUAUAAUGUUUUAUUCAUUUUUCUGAAAAUUUCAUAAAUAUAUACAUUGUAAUUUGAUCAUAUUCCCUACCCACACAAACAUCUUCAAAGAUUCCAAAUCCCACACCCUCCAAACUUGAAAUUAGACAGUUAACAUUACAACCCUGAAAAAGAAUGGGCUCAAGAGCUCUCUUUACUAGCUGAGGAGCUAUUGAUCAUUGGUAGCUCCUGAGGAAGGGAGAGUCAGACUUUCUUCAGGGUUGUGGUUCCUUCUACCUCAAUAACUUCAAGUGGAUGACCCUGAACUCAUGCAUAUAUAUGCAACCACAUAUACAUAGCAUAAAUUUAACUCAGUAGAUUAUUUUUAUAGAUAUCUUUAAAAAUAUUUAUUUAUUCAUUGUAUUUCGUGGGAAUACAUAUCAUAAUUGACACCUGUAUCAUUUCUAUCACAUCUACAACAUAUGAAUAGUGCUUAUCAUCAAAGUACACAUAUUAUUUGAUUUCAUCUGAAGAGGUUAAAAUCAAUAGAACUCAACUUGCUGAAUAUUGUCACCUACUUAAACAUGUUUUCUUUUAUUAACUGAUCUUGUUCUUUAAUAUUUCAUAAAUGUAUGAAAACAUUCUGUUUACUUCCAGUUUCCUCUUAUCUUCUUCCCAUACCUGUGGCCCACCCCUCUCUACUACCUUUCCUGGAUUUAUGACCUCUAGUUUUGUGACCCGGAGCUUUGUGUGAUCAACAGUGAGUACAUAGUAGAAGCCAGUGACCAUCAACCACACCCCUCAGAUAUAGCAAGAAUAUGUAAUAGUUCAGUGAUGAAGAUAUAGUCACAAGAUCCCUCACUUCCAUCUAUACCUGACUGGUGACAGGCUUAUUAUUGAACAGAUGCAGUGCAUGUAUCCACAGCUAGAAGAGAGUGGUCAUUGCAAUGGCAUUGUCUUUUUCAGAAGAUAGCCUCUCACAGCCUUUCUAUCUACUGUAACUUGCAUUCUUUCCUCUCCUCUUUCACUUUGUUCCAUGAGAUUCUGAGGGAACAGUCUAAAUGACUGCUUUAGGGGUGAAUACCGAGCUGUCACUUAUCCUGAACAAUGUGUUUACCUAUGAGUACAUUAGUCACCAUUCACUGGAAAGUGAGACUUCUUUGAAUAAGGCAACAUUAAACAUUUGUUUGAGGGUAUAAAUGUUAAUAUUUAUAAGGUAAUUUGACAUUAUGGCAAUUUAGCUAGUCAAAAGCAUAGUAUACAUUUUCUCAUUGAAGCCUAUGUUUUCCCCUAGCCAUGGGAUUUUGAUCAGGUCUAUAGACCAAGAGAUAGCUUUUUCCCCUGUGGUGUAAUACUCAAAUCUAAGAAGGGCGUUCCAUUACCCUCAUAAAAAUAGUUUCACUAUUUUAUCUACUGGGCAUUCUUUGCCUGACAAGUUAGUGCUAUAGUUGGAUUCAUAGUUGGGUAUGAUUACUAGUACCCCUGUACCCAGCUACCUGCAUAGAACCUGUGUUAUUCAUAAUUUAUGUGAGUGAUAAACAUCAUGACAGAAAGUGGGAAUGAAGGGAUUUGUUUCAUCUUACAACUCUCAGGUCAUACUCCAUGACUGAGAAAAGUCAAAAAGUCAUGUAAGGAAGCUGGACACUGGACCUUGAGCAGAAACCACAAAGGACCUAUGCUUACUUCCUUGUUUCUCACCUAUUAUUUAGCCUGAUUUCUUAUAAGUCAAGACUAUCUACCCAAGUUUGGAUCACCUACAAUAAUAGACUGGUUUCCCUGUCAAUAUUUAAUGAAGAAAGUGUUCAACAGACACACUUACAGUCCAAUCUUUUCCCAUUUGAGAGUGCCUCCUCCCAAAUGUCUGUAACUUGGUUCAAGUUGAAAUAAAAUUAACUAGGAGAGAAUGUAUUGGGAUUAAGAAAACCAGCAGGGUGAAAGAUCACAGCUCAGUUACAGCUUGAUUUUUCUCUACCAUUUAUGAUAUAUCUUCUGUAAAUGGGGCAACCCAGAAAAAUAGCAAAAGUCCAUAUGGUUCUUGGUAUCCUCAGAGAAUUUUCUGACUAGUCACUCACUAAGGAAGUAGUUCACCACCCUCACUGGGGUUUUCUUCUACAGAUUUUAGUAGUAGUAUUUUCAGCCCUACAGGCAUUUUCGUUCCUUUCUACAUAUAUACCAUUUAUACUUUAGUUGGUCACAUAGUAGGUUUCUAUAUGACUUUCUUUGAAAUCAAGCCCCCCUCCACUCUUGGCUGAUAUUUUCCCUAUUCCUCACACCUUCCUGCUUAAAUCUUGGUAUCUCUAAUAUUUCUCUGCUCUGCCUUCAUAGAACCUAAGUUCUACUCCCAUUUAUCCAUAAGCCAUUCCCUACCCAAUGGUCUCUUUCAAGUUUCCUGGCUUCUACAAGAACUCCAUGCUAAACACAUAAUAUCAAAUUAUAUCUAACAUUUCAGCCCUUCUCCUUAUCCUUUUGUCUAUUAACAGGGGCAAAUACCUUGUGUUACAUUUUAUAACAUAAAAGUGGAUGUGUAGUAUUGGUGCAACCCAAAAUCUGGAGGAUUCUGUGGUUUCAGUUGUUGCUCACUAAUUCGCUCAUACAGAACUUCACUUGGAACAAUCUUCUACAGGCAUCUAUAGAAUAGGCAUGGGAGAAGAAAACUUGCUUUCUUUGCCUACUUUCUCUCACUUUUACUGGCAAGUCUAUCGAUUCCUUAGCAUUAGUGCCUGUUUCUUUGGAAUCCUUACAUAUGUCGAACCAGUUAAGGCAUUCAUUUUCAUGAACUGAACAACUAUUAGGUUCUUGGACCUCCUGUACAUAGACAGUUACUGUUCAUUGUUGAGUCGGAUGAACUAUAGCCUGUAAGCCAUUCUAAUAAAUUCUCUCUCUCUCUCUCUCUCUCUCUCUCUCUCUCUCUCUCUCUCUCUCUCUCUGUCUCUCUCUCUCCCCCUCCCUGUGUGUGUGUGUCUGUCUGUCUGUCUGUGUUUAUUAAAAGGAUCCAGCCAAGUUAAUCUGGUUCAAUCCCCUUGGCAAACCUUCUACAUCUCUCCACCACAGAGACAAGACCUGAUGAAAUCAAAACCCUUUUAAAUAAAGAACAAGGCUAUAAAGUUAAUAUAGAAAUACAGAGUAAAUUCUUAGGCAAAUGGAUGGAACUAGAAAACAUCAUCCUGAAUGAGAUAACCCAAUCACAAAAGAACAAACAUGGUAUGCAUUCACAGAUAAGUGAAUAUUAGCCCAAAAGCUCGGUAUACCCAAGAUACAAUUCACAAACCUCAUGAAACUCAAGAAGAAGGAAGACCAAAAUGUGGAUGCUUCAGUCCUUCAUAGAAUGGGGAAAAAUACUCACAGGAUGAAAUAUAGAAACAAAGUGUGGAGCAGAGACUGAAAGAAAGGACAUCCAGGGACUGCCCCACCUAGAAAUCCAUUCCAUAUUCAGCCACCAAACCCAGACGAUAUUGUAGAAGCCAGGAAAUGCAUGCUGACAGAUGCCUGAUAUAGCUGUCACCUGAGAGGCUCCGCCAGAGCCUGAUAAAUACAGAGGCAGAUGCUUACAGCCAAACAUGAACUUAGGAUGGGAAUCCCCAAUGGAGCAGUUAGAGAAAGGACUGAAAGAGCUGAAGGGGGUUUGCAAUCCCAUUACAAGAACAAUAAUACCAACCAGCCAGACUUGCCUCCCAAAGUUUCCAGGGACUAAACCACCAUCUAAAGAGUACACAGGGAUGGACCCAUGGCUCCAGCUGUAUAUAUAGCAGAGGAUGGCUUUGUUGGGCAUUCAUGGGAGGAUAGGUCCUUUGUCCUGUGAAGACUUGGUGCCCCACUGUAGGGGAAUGUCAGGGCACGGAGGCGGGAUGGAAUGUGUGGGUAGGAGAGCAUCCUGAUAGAAGCAUCAAGAUGGGGAUUGGAUAGCAGGUCUCUGGAGGGGAAACCUUGAAAAGGGAAAACAUUUGAAAAGUAAAUAAAAAUAUACAAUAAAAGAAGAAAAAGGAAAAAAACAGAAAUUCAGAGUAUGAAAGACUAAAAACAAGGAUUCAGAGAGAUCCUAUGGAAGGCAUAAGGAGGAAAGGGAAGAAUGAAGAGGGAGUCAGAGACAGAUAGACAGACAGAGAGACCAAGAGAGAUAGAUUGAGAGAUGCUUUUCAUUUUUAGCUGGUGAGUCCUGACUACGACUGGAAAGAAGGCUUGAAGGAGAGCAGAGGAGCAGUAGACUUGCUUUCAGUCAUCUGAAGAAGACCAAUUCAAGUUAAUUUAUACACACAAGAGUAAAGAUGAGAGAGACAAAGCUCCUCUACCCUAAAAGUAAACCUAGUGUUCUACUGAGUUUCAUAUUUUACAAUAUGCUACAAGAAGACACAGUGAAGCAUGGAUUAGUUUUGCCCGAAUAAACAACAGCAGUAAGUUAGACAACAGGAGAAAGAUGGGUUUGAGGUGAGGUAGAAAGGGCUUCACACAGUUUUCUGGUUUUGGUGUGUGGGAAUAAACAACAGCACACUUCAGGAAAAAGUGGAGCAUAUAAUUUGCAAAUAGAAAAGGAAGAUAAAUCAUUUGAAAUGUUGGGUCUGUUGUGAGGAGAGAGCCAUCACACUUUGAGAAACAUUUCCUGAGGCUGCAAUUUAACAGAACUGCAGAGAUGAAUGUGCAAGGGGAUCCAUCUCUGUUUUGUUAAUCAAAGCAAUGGAAGGAAACUAAAUGUUCAUCGAUACCAGAUACAUUAUACAAAGGGUGGUGAUUCAUGACCCAAGACACUCUGCCGCCUGUGCAAAAUUCAAUGCAUAUUUGUGUUUUUGCACCCACUUGGAAAGAUGCCCAUAAAAUAUUUUUGACUAGAAAAGCAACAGAAUUAUAUUCUCUAUAAUUUUAAAUAAAUUCUGUGUUCUUAAAAGUGGAAAAAGACAAAGAGGACAAGCAUUUUCUAGGAAGAGAUGUCAAUAGAUUUUAGAAGAUAAGUACCCAGGUUGGAUGCGCCACAAACUUAAAAUCCAUUGUUGAUGCUUUGCAAGGAGUUCAACUUUUGACAACUGAUAAUUAUGCAUCCACACAGAUACUCAUGUUUUGCUUGUAUUGGUAUAGAUUCGAUUAUGCUCCCCCAACCUGAGACAUAGUCAUACACUUGAAUCGCUUAUGUUUGAAUCCUAAUCAGAGUGAUAGGGAAUUUGGAGAUUUUUUCUUACAGGAUGUCAUGAAGCCCACAGAAUGGAGCCUUUAUCCUUGUGUGAACAGAUGAUUCGGUGCUAUCUUCUCUACCCUCUCAUGUGCAUACAACACUAGAAGAAAGCAAUCUCCUGCAAGGUAACUGGGGAAGGUGGUUAAAGGUUUGCUGAGCCUGCUUCCCCCUUCAUCUAUGACAUCUCAGCUCCAAAGCUAAUUAAAAUAAACCAAUGCUGUAUCAGCUCCCUGUUCUGCCAUUUUCUUAGGGUAAGCCAAGCUGACUAAGACAUGUAAACACAUAUUCGUUGUAGUAUACUAUGGUAUAGCUGUGAAGCAAACCUGGCAUUCAAAUGUUUCAUCUCUUAGUCCCCAAAUGGUGAUCCUCUUUGAAAGAUUGAGGAAAUCCCUAGAAAAGGAAGCUUGACUUGAGGAGCUGUGUUCCCAAGGAGAAGGCUUUGAGGAUUAUCAUAGUCUAAUCUCUCUUGGUAACCUAGCCCUUCACUCUACAACCCCAAAUAAAGCCAUUCUCCUUUAAGUUGCUUUUUGCCAGGAAUUUAGUGACAGCAAAACCAAAAGUAGCCAACAUGUCAUAUAAAAAUUAUCCCCAGUAUCUUAACAUAAUCAAAUAUUAGCUCACUGUUUUUGUAGGUCAGUGACUUACAAAAUGCUGAGCUGGAUGCUUUUCUGUCAAGACAGGUUUUUACUUGGGUAAUAGUUGAUACAGCAUUUUCAGGGCCUCCACCAUGAUACCACUCUGAAUAUAGCUGGCUCUUGGCUCUGGAGGCUUCAGUUCCUUACCAGACCAACAGCUCUCUCCAAAACACAGCUCCUCUCAUCAGAAUGUCUAUUUUCUUUCUACCUUUAGUCUUGUUUCUUAUUAUCUUUUUCUGUGGAACACUCUCCCUUAAAGAACUACAAGAACUUGAACACCUACAACUUUAUUUGAGAUAGGUAUCAAAGAUAUAGAAUUGUGGUUUCAUAUGUACAACCACAAAACACAUGAAGCUCAAGAAGAAGGAUGACCAAAGUCCUUCUUAAAGGGAGAGGGGACAAAAUAUUCAUAGGAGGGGAUAUGGAGACAAAGUUUGAAGCAGAGAUUGAAGGAAUGGCCAUUCAGAGACUGCUCCACCUGGGGAUCCAGUCCAUAUACAUACAGCCACCAAACGCAGACAAUAUUGAUGAUGUCAAGAAGUGCAUGCUGACAGGAGCCUGAUAUAUCUGUCUCCUGAGAGCCUUAGCCAGAGCAUGACAAAUACAGAGGAAAAUGCUCACAGUCAACCAUCAAACUGAGAACGGGGUCCCCAGUGGAGAAAUUAGAAUAAGGAUUGAUGGAGCUGAAGGGGCUUGCAACCCAUAAAAACAACAAUACCAACCAACCAGAGCUCCCCAGGGACUAAACCACUACCCAAAAACUACACAUGGACAGACUCAUGGCUCCAACUGCAUAUGUAGCAGAAGAUGACCUAGUUGGGCACCAGUGUGGGGAGAAGGCCUUGGUCUUGCUAAAGCUCGAACCCCCAGUGUAGGGGAAUGUUGGGGUGGGAAGGUGGGGAAGGGGUAGGUGGAUGGGUGAAGGAACACCCUCCUUGAAGCAGGGGAGAGUGGAUGAUAUGGUGUAUGAGCAGGAAACUGGGAAAGGUGAUCACACUUGAAAUGUAAAUAAAAAAAUAUUCAGUAAAAAUAGGUACAUACUGAAUUAAUCAAAGCCAGUCGAUAAACAUGUCUGCCUUCGCAUAUUUAACAUUUACCUUUCUUUUCCAUUAUUUUGCUUUUGUUUAUUUAUUAGUUCACUUGAUAACUGAAUCCGUUGGAUUUUCUCUUAUGAUUUCAAGUACGAAAUUAUAUUUGGUGACCACUAUCUCUUCAUUUGUCCCUGUCUUUAGCUUGGGGCAACCCUUAUUGUACUCUACUUGUAAAAGGGCAAAACUAUUUUAUUACAUUCCUAAAAGAAGUUCUAGCAGUAUUUGUUUUUCCAUGUCUUGUUUAUCUUACUUCAAUGUCUAGUAUGUUCAUUUAUUUCACAUAUUUCAGCAUUUCCUGAAGAAUGAUGAGUGUAGCUAAUUCAUAAUGACUUUUUUUAUAAGGCUCUAUCAUCUCUGAUGCUAAACAUUGAUAGAAUAUGUCAUUUUUAACUUAUGCUGUAAUUUGUAAUAGUUAAAUUUGGAAUAUUUUAUAUUUAUGUCCCUUUUGUUCGUGUUUAUGUAGCAGGGUCUCAUUAUCCCAUGGUGACCUCAAACUCACUGUGCAGCUAAGAAUGAGUUGACAUUCUUGCCCUUGUUUCUCAUAUAUUAGGUUCUGGAUGCCUGAUGCCAUACAUGACUAAUUCACAGAUUUGGUUUCUUUUUUCCUCAUUUUAUGACUUCCAAUGAAUUUCAGCUACCAUCCUAAAUAGCAGCCAUUCUGUAGUUCACAGCUAAUGCUGGCAUCUGAGCUCUUCGGGCCCACUCAUCUCUUUCUUGUUAAUCAGAGCAACUGUAUUUAUUCCUCUGCCUGUUGUUAAUGAUUAUGAACAAUUUAUCUAUUUCACAACUUCUAAUUGUAAUAUUAUUUUCUUCAUAGUAAUCAGUAGAAAAUAAACAAUGUAUGUACUUGAGAAAGACUAAUUUUAUUCUGGGCAUGUAACUCUACAGGUAGAAUGCAGACCUAAUAUGAAUGAAGCACUAGGGAAAUCCUAAGUAUAGCAUACAUAGGGUGUGGCAGUGUAUAUACCUGUAAUCUCAGCACGCUUGACAGAGAGGCAAUAUGUCACGACUUUAAUAUUAUCCUCAGCUACAUAUUGACUAUCCUAAAAUAAACAGGUACCUAUUUCAUAAACAAAUAAAUUUAAGUAUAUGUAAUAUAUAAUUAUUAAAAUAAUAACCAUACAUACUUUCAUGCCAUUACAGAAACAACAAUACGAAUGAAAAGAUAAAUGCUCUAAUAUGAAAGAAUCUUUCUUAUCAAAGAGCAGAUUGCUAAUAUGUAACAGACCUACAACAUAUAUAUGGAUGUCUAUAUAUAUAUUUCAUAAUUUAUUGAAGUCUACCUUGGUAAUAAUUGUAGAAAAUACAAAUUAAUUAAAUAUUCCAGAAUUUGAAAUAGAUGUAUGACAGUUUAACAUUAAGUUAGAUUCAUACAUAUGAGUAAUAUUCUUUCCAAACAGGAUUAUCUCCUAUAAAAAUUAUCUUAGCAGCAUGGGUUCUAUGAUAUUUUUUGAUCAUUACAAACUAUAGAAAAUCAUUAAGCAUCAAACAAAGUAAAUAAAUCAAACAGUUAUAAGGACAUGAGUCACUGCAAUAAGCCAAAGGUCAAAAAGAAAAUAAAGAGGGAUAAAUAAAUGUAGAAGGGAAAACCACUGGUAUAGUAUCCAGAUAUCUUUAGGAAUAGCCAGGAAACAAUUCUGAGGUCCUUGAAUUAAGUUGGGAGUUAGUAAGAAGGACAAGUGGUUUUGGUGGAUGUCUACAUUUUAAGUCUUACUGAAGAAAAGGAAAUGAGGGGGAUGAAUAUGAUCAGAUUUCUUUACAUGCAUGUAUGGAAAUCUUAGAUGCUAACCUCUUGCUUAACAUGAUUAGUGUAGUAUUAAACAAAUUAGGGACUGGACAGAUGUCUUGGUAGUUAACAAUACUCGCUGCUCUUCCAGAUGACCUUGGUUUGAUUCCCAGCACCCACGCAACAGCUUAAAGCCACUUGCAACUCAGGUUGUAUAAGAACUGAUUCCUUUUUCUCUACUCCAUAGACAUAAGUACACAAGUGUUGCAUAGAUACACACACAUAUAAGGAAAACACGCAUGAAAAAUAAAAUUUAAAAUAAUUUUAAAAGCCAAGUAUAUUUUACAAGUAAGAAAGAAAAAUCAUUAAAAAUAUCCCUUCAGUGGGCUCAUAAAAAGUACUAAAUGAAACUAUAAUUAUUAAAGCAACAAUACAGCAAAUUAAACAUAGCAGCUGGAAUAAUGUGUGCUGAGUACAUGGCAAUAUGUGUAAACUGAGAAAUUCUUGAAAUUAAGAAUUAAUAGAACUGUCAAAAGACAAGUACGUUUUCACAUUUUUAGUAACAAUGUAAAAAUAAAACCUAUCAAGUGCGAAGAGACAAUGGCAAGAUAUAUAGAGCAAUAUUUCUCAGCUAGCAAGAAAACACCAGCAAGUUAACAUGGGACAUAUUUAUAGCAACAAAUAUGAAUGAACUAUAGAAAAGUGUAAUCCCAAGUAUGUGUUCCGAAGAGUAUGAAACUGAUGGACUAGAGAUGAGAACAAAUAAUGUCAGUCCAUCUCAGGAAAUCACAAAACCCAGGAAGACAAAUGAUAUAUUAAUUACUGAGACAAAGGGGGAUUUUUAAAUUGCUCUUAAAUCAAAUAUAGAUAACUUCAUGAUAAGUUGCAUAUACCAAAAAGACACAAAGACAAACGUAAAUGCGAUUAUUGUUAUACUGGAAAAAAUGUUUCAUAUGUAAGCAGCAAAGAGUCGAGAUAGGUUAAUGUAGGUCACCAGACAGAAGUGAAAUUAAAAAGUGAAAUCAAACAAAGGAGAAAGGAGUUGUUACUAAGAUUGGGAUCUGCCUUAAAUGCUCAGGGAAGCUCACUGUGUCUAAACACAGCCCUAACUGCUAUGUAACCAACCACCUAUGGACUGCAGUAAACCUCCCAGCUGAUUUAACUAGCCAGAACAUGAGAGCAAAGAUAAGCUCAAUGGUAUUUAAAUUGCUUCAGAGCUUUUCAUGAAUCAUGUGCUGCUUAAUACUGACUCUCAACACAUAAAAGGUAAACAGGGAUUUCUCAAUUUACUGAACGGAUAAAUCUCAUUUUUUUGUACCAAUUAUACUGUGCUUGGCCUAGUUCUAGGUGCUGGGUUUCAGCAGAAAAUAUAAAUAAGCACAAUCUGACAUUUACUGUAGUUAGUGGGAAUAGUUAAACAAAAUUAAUUAAAUGUAAAUAAUUUGAUCUACAAAUUAUGAUUUCAGGAAGCAGUUUUUAAUGUAAUGUUUUAAGUGAUAUGUCAUCAUUAUAUUAUUUAGAAAUGUAAAAAUUGAUUUAAAGUUAAAUGUUUAAAUAAAGCCAAAAUAAUGUCUCAGAAAAAUAUAAUUAUAAUGGUAGAGAUUAAAAUGGCCCUGUGCCAAAUUCCCUCUUUAUUAUUGAUUAAAUAUAGGAUAAUAGUUAUUAUUGGAAUAUAAUUAUUCUUAGUGGUAUCAUUAUUCUUGGCUUGUAACCAACCUGCAUAAGGAAUAUGAGAAGGCAGUCGAAUUAAGAUCCUGAGUAAAAAAUGUCCACUAUUAGUGAUCCUAUGUUUGAACAUGAGCAAGCAUUGGUAAGUGUAAGAAAUCUAUGAUAAGUAUCAAAGUGGAUGGAAGGAAUUAAAAUUACCAUGACAGACAGGGAAAAAUAUUGAGGUAAGUUAGGGAGAUUAUAGAAUACUCAUUAAAUGGACCUGGAUAGGAGCACUAAGAAGUACAGUUGUUUAGAUGUGAAAAUAAAUAUAAUUUACAUCAGCCAAGCUUUCCAGAUAUAUGAAACGUCUAUUAUGAAUACAUUGAAAUCUCUUCUCAUUUUAGUUAAUGAUCAUUUUGAACUUCUUUCAUUUUAAUAAAAAAUGAAUGGACUGUGUAUACCCUGAAAGAUACAAAUAGAGAAUAUUUAGAGUGAGUGACAACAAGCCUUAGAAGCUUCAAAACUGUUAGAAAGCCAUUUUAAUUAAGUCAAGACACACAAAACAAAAGAGUUAUUGUGAUGGUUUGAAUAUGCUUGGCCCAGACAGUGGCUCUAUUAGGAAGUGUGGCCAUGUUGUAGUAGAUAUGAAGAACUCCUUUGAGGUUAUAGUUUCUGUCCAGAUAUUGAUUCUGCACAUAUACUCUGAUCUACUGCCAGAUACAGAAGGCUAUUUAGGGUAACUACAUGGUAAUUAACACAAGUAGUGAGAAUCUUCUGGGAGCCCAUAAGUGCAUCAUAUUAAAUAAACCAGUGUUUAUUUAAAUAUAAGGAAAAAUAUUAUGUACCAGUUUCAGCUACAAAGGAACAACCAAGGUCUAAUAUAUUUUGUUUUGUUAAUUAUUAUAAUUUUGUAUAUAUUCAUAGUUAUAUUUUUGAUUUUUCCAACAUAUGGACUUAUAUUAAGUUGACAUAAAAUAAACUGAAAUGAAAAGUCCAGUCAUCUUCAUGAGAAGCAAAGUUGUAAUUGUUAAAAAGCCUCAAAGGACAGGAAUAUUCUCUGCUUAGAUGGUAGUUCCAAUUUCCAAGGUCCUGUCAACCUACAGACCUACAUCUCGAUGAGGGACUAUUACGAUAUGGCCUUUUUGAGGCUGGUAGAUACUGAGCUGCAAAGCACUUUGGGAAACCUGAGGCACAUGCUGCUACUUUCUUCUGUCCCUAUGCUACAAGAAAAAGAAAAAAUAAAAACUUCUCAGCCCAAUGAGAUGCUGGUUAUUUAAUAAGUGUUAUUUUUCAAGGAAUAUCCAGUAAACCAAAAUGACUUUUUAAUAAGAUAGUCCUGGCUGGUAGAAAAUUAUGUAUUUAGGGGACUUUUUUAGAACACAAAUUUACUGUGCCCAAUAGAGCAGAAUAGCACUUAUGAUUUGCAUUCUCUGUAUGGAAAAUAUACAUUUGCACAAAUGAAUGUUUACAAGGACAGGAUGAAAAUGAAUCUUAGCUACAUAUUUUUCAUUAUACAGUCACUUUCUCCCAUGGCCCACAAAUCUGGCUAUGGGGAAAAAUAGCUCCUUUAACUGGAUCUACUACAUACAAUUAGAAAUUGGUGAAACGAAUAUUUUUUUCAUCCUGUAAAAUACAAUUUCUUUUGCCAAAUGUAGUGUGAAAAAUUAAAGGAAAUUGGUAUGAGGGAAUUUUUUGUUGCAUUUUAUGCAACAACAUUUCAAUUAUUAAUGUAGGUGACUUGCAUACCCAAGUAUUACACACACACACACACACACACACACACACACACACACACACACACACACACACGGUUGUGAACAAGCAGUAGCCCUUCAGGAGAUGUGAUUAUGUCUGGAGCACAGCUGCACCAUGGGAAAAAUCUAAAGGAAUUUGGUAAUUAUCUUGUUAACUGUCACAGUACUGUUUAGUAUCUUUGGGAAAUAAAUAAGAUACUGCUGAGUGAUGGGUGUGGUCUUUCUAUAUUCUUGAGUCCAGGAAAGGAGCCCUACUGAGUUCAUUAACAAAUACUUAAGCUGGAAGACCUAUGCUUUGCUGAUGUUGACUGUGAGAAUGACGGAAUGAAGAAUGAGCGAGGACAACACCAGAUGCUUCAUUCAACAGGUUCUCCUGAAGAGAGACCCCUGACCAUGAUCUGACCACAAUGUUUCUCAGACAUCCCCCUGAUGUAUGGGCGACUUUUCAUCAGACAGUGCUUAUAAUGAGAAGACGAGGACCUUAAGCAUCUAAUAUUUUCUGAAAUAUCCUUAGUCUAUGAAAAGCAAAAAACCAGGCACAUUAAACAAGAAAGCAAAAAAGCUAUAAAUUUAGUUUUUUUAAAAUAAAUUACUGCUUGGUAUUCUUGAGAA